UGCCAGCCGCCGCGGUAAUACGUAGGAUUCGAGCGUUAUCCGGAUUUAUUGGGUUUAAAGGGUGCGCAGGCGGAAUAUUAAGUUAGUCGUUAAAUAGUUGAGCUCAACUCGACACAUGCGAUUGAUACUGGUAUUCUAGAGAUUAUCUGCAGUAGGCGGAAUAAGUAGUGUAGCGGUGAAAUGCUUAGAUAUUACUUAGAACCCCGAUUGCGAAGGCGGCUCACUGGCUCGAUACUGACGCUGAGGUACGAAAGUGUGGGGAGCAAACAGGAUUAGAUA
rnacentral:rRNA from 1 species